rnacentral:sRNA from 12 species
ACUGUGGAGUGUACAUAGUUGUUCCAACAUUGGAACUUGUGAGUAGCGUAUUGUUUACAAUCGCCAAAGCAUACACAAUGAAGCAGUAA